AAAAUUGCUACACAUUAGAAGUUGAAAUCACCAUUUCUUCAAUCUUCAUCACGGUUUUUACUGGAGAAAAUAAUCACCACAUACUCCAUCCAGGACGUGCUACCAUUUCUUAUCCCAAGAAAGUGAAUGCAAGUAAAAGUAAAAUAAAAGUAAAGAUUACAGUAGCUCAAAGGAAAUCCACCAACUCCCAUCCAUUCAUUUCUUCAUUCAUCAACUAAAUAAAAGAAAAGCAAGUGCCGGUUGUACCCCCAUUUUUCAUUCACCCAAAAUCAAAUAUCAUGAACAUAAUUCAAGAAAAGAAAAAAAACUUUCUCUAGCAAAAUGAAUGUGGCAGCCCUGGACGUUCCAGCACCUCUCUCAAUGAAUCACCGAAUGUGCACACUUUUUUCUAAGCUUCAAGCAAUUUAAAUAAAAAUCUAGCUACUAUAUUCCUAUCAAGCCGUGACAAAAAAAAAACAAAAAAAAUAAAAAAAAGAAGAUCAAAUGCCAAUAAGUGUUGGCCAGAAACAACGUGAUUCUCUCCAAAGUGUGUGCCACCGUGAACUAUUUCCAAUUCAAAUGGAUAAACCUUGCUUUCCAAAAUGAAAUCAUCACAUCUAACUAAAUGAUGAAAAAAAAAAACAAAUUAAAAGGGUAACUUUCUUCCAGCAACAACGUUGGACAAAAUAAAAAGAAUUUGGAAAGAGUGCUUCUUCAUUCACCCAUUGAAAUCAACGUGAUUAAUAUUCCAGCUCCC
rnacentral:lncRNA from 1 species